AGUGAUGGAGGUAGAUAUGUAUAGGGGGAAGGAGACAGGGAUACUGGAGUGAUGGAGGUAGAUAUGUAUAGGGGGAAGGUGACAGGGAUACUGGAGUGAUGGAGGUAGAUAUGUAUAGGGGGAAGGUGACAGGGAUACUGGAGUGAUGGAGGUAGAUAUGUAUAGGGGGAAGGAGACAGGGAUACUGGAGUGAUGGAGGUAGAUAUGUAUAGGGGGAAGGUGACAGGGAUACUGGAGUGAUGGAGGUAGAUAUGUAUAGGGGGAAGGAGACAGGGAUACUGGAGUGAUGGAGGUAGAUAUGUAUAGGGGUAAGGUGACAGGGAUACUGGAGUGAUGGAGGUAGAUAUGUAUAGGGGGAAGGAGACAGGGAUACUGGAGUGAUGGAGGUAGAUAUGUAUAGGGGGAAGGUGACAGGGAUACUGGAGUGAUGGAGGUAGAUAUGUAUAGGGGGAAGGAGACAGGGAU